rnacentral:rRNA from 1 species
AUUGAACGCUGGCGGCAUGCCUAACACAUGCAAGUCGAACGGUAACGCGGAGAGCUUGCUCUCUGGCGACGAGUGGCGGACGGGUGAGUAAUACUUAGGAAUCUGCCCAGUAGUGGGGGACAACUCGGGGAAACUCGAGCUAAUACCGCAUACGCCCUACGGGGGAAAGCGGGGGAUCUUCGGACCUCGCGCUAUUGGAUGAGCCUAAGUCGGAUUAGCUUGUUGGUGGGGUAACGGCCUACCAAGGCGACGAUCCGUAGCUGGUCUGAGAGGACGAUCAGCCACACUGGGACUGAGACACGGCCCAGACUCCUACGGGAGGCAGCAGUGGGGAAUAUUGGACAAUGGGGGCAACCCUGAUCCAGCAAUGCCGCGUGUGUGAAGAAGGCCUGCGGGUUGUAAAGCACUUUCAGUAGAGAAGAAAAGCUUAAGGUUAAUACCCUUGGGUCUUGACGGUACCUACAGAAGAAGCACCGGCUAAUUCCGUG